UACGUAGGUCGCAAGCGUUAUCCGGAUUUAUUGGGCGUAAAGGGAACGCAGGCGGUCUUUUAAGUCUGAUGUGAAAGCCUUCGGCUUAACCGGAGUAGUGCAUUGGAAACUGGGAGACUUGAGUGCAGAAGAGGAGAGUGGAACUCCAUGUGUAGCGGUGAAAUGCGUAGAUAUAUGGAAGAACACCAGUGGCGAAAGCGGCUCUCUGGUCUGUAACUGACGCUGAGGUUCGAAAGCGUGGGUAGCAAACAGG
rnacentral:rRNA from 1 species